rnacentral:rRNA from 1 species
AAGGCCUCGGUUGUAAGCCUUUGUACGGGAAGAAAAGCGUGCGGGUAAUAUCCGUGCGUCAUGACGGUACCGUAAGAAUAAGCACCGGCUAACUUCGUGC